rnacentral:lncRNA from 1 species
GUAGCCAAAAAGUGAAAACAACCCAAAUGUUCAUCACCUGAUGAAUGAAUAAGUUUCAGGAUAUCCACCAAUGGAAUAUUAUUCAGCAAUAAAAAGGUUUGAUGUAAUGAUAGAUGCUAAAAACAUGGAUGAAGCUUGGAAAUAUUUAAAGUAAAAUAAGACAGGUGUGAAAGACAUAUAUUGUAUGAUUCCAUUCAUAUGCAAGUCCAGAGCAUGUAAAGCUAUAUAGAAUCAGUUCGUGGUUAUGUAGGCCUAGGAUGUAGAUCGGUGGGGGGCAGGGGGUGAUAGCUAAAGGACAAGGGUUUUUUUUUCUUCUUCAUUUUUUGAGAUGGAGUCUCACUCUGUCACCCAGGCUGGAGUGCAGCGGCACUAUCUCGGCUCACUGCAACCUCCGCCUCUCCGGUUCAAGCGAUUCUCCUGCUUCAGCCUCUCAUGUAGCUGGGAUCACAUGUGUGCCACCAUGCCCAGCUGAUUUUUGUAUUUUUAGUAGAGGCGGGGUUUCACCAUGUUGGCCAGGCUGGUAUUGAACUCUUCACCUCAAGUGAUUCACUCACCUCGGCCUCCCAAAGUGUUGGGAUUACAGGCGUGAGCCACUGCACCCAGCCUAGGGGUUUUCUUUUUGAGGUGAUAAAAAUGUUCUAAAGUUUAUAGUGAUGAUGCUUACAAAUUCUAUAAGUAGACUUAAUGCAGUGAUGGUUGCAAAUUCUAUAAAUAUAUUUAAUGUGGUGAUGGUGGCAAAUUCUAUGAAAAACCCAAAUUGUACAAUUUCAAUGAGUGAAAGCAUGCUAUGUGAAUGUCUUCAUAAAGGUUUUAUUUAAAAAAUGAGCAAACGGUAGAAUGUUAACAUGGCCCACGUCUAUGUGGUGUCUAUAUUGGUUUCUAUUAUAUGUUUUCUAUGUGGUUGAAACAUUCCUAAUAAAAUGUGCAUAGUUUUUUAAAAAAGAAAACACAUCAGUGGACGUGAAUGCAGGAUGUCUUAUGAAUGCUCACACAGAAGCUCUCAUUCCUGAGGAAUGCAGGGAAAAGCAGAAGAUGGAGUAGGAGUUGGCAUGGCCCAGCUAGCUCAGAUGACACACGAUGGUCCCAGUGGCAUGACUUGUUUAUGCAAAUACCGUAUACGUGAUAAACGUCCCUACAA